AGUAAUCCCACAUCCAACCCUUCUGCCCUGGGAAUGGUCUGCACGCUGAACUGAAGGAGCUAAUCAAGAGUUUUGAAGCGGAUGUAAAACCUAAAAUGGUGGUGCAAGGAAAGCUUCUUUUUAUCUGAAAGGCAACUUCAAGCUCUCUGUUUCAUGACUACUGAUCAUAUGCACAGUGCAACACAGCAGCAUUUCUGGAAAAUUGGAAUCUUCCUGAUUGCGGCCAUUCUUCUUGUCCUGAAACGCAACAGCCUGAGGAACAUCACAUGACUGGUCAACAGAAUAAAGGAACCAUCAAGAUGGGAUUUGGCCCUAUUGACAAUUUGUUAAAGAAGAGGAAAAAAAGAUUUAAAAUAUAUUUCAAAUGGAUUGAAUUUGGGAGAAAAACAUGCUUUGCAAUUUAAAGGCUUUCUGCUCUUUUUGAAAAGAGAUGAUUUCAGUGCAGUGAAACAUCAGGAAGGGGGGUCACCAAAAGUACUUGUUUUGCACAUAUUUUGCUCUUGUUAUUGGACUUGUUUUUGUGAAAAUUCUAGCCUUAAGACUAUUGUGAUUCUUCAGUUGGCAGCUGAAUGCUUUUUUUUGGUGAAUUAUUUGUAAGUAAUGUUGAUAGAAUUUCUGGCUCUCACAUAAAUUGCUUGUAUAUAUGGUACCUAUUCUAUUCUGCUUUCUAUACAUUUUUUUUCUUUCUUUCUGUUUGAAGGCUGGUGACUGAUAUAUAGCUUUGAGCUUGAAUUCAGCGAAGGGUUAAGAGAAAUGGACUGGAGAUUUUGAGCUAGCUAUGUUGCUUUGAGCCUAAGACACAGCAGAGAGGAGAAAUGAGGCAGGGAUAAAGCUUUGAUACUAUCUGGUGGACUUUUCUUUCUUCUCUGUUCCUCCCUUUCUUUUGUGUUUCACAGAAUAAUGACAGCUAGAACUUCAAGCCUAAAAGUGUUCUGCAUUCUGUCAAGCAACUCUUAACAUGCCUGUUCCUCCAUAGCCUCAAUGUCUUUCUCAUAAUAUGUGCUCAACUGAGAACUAAACGAUUUGUCUAAUUAUCAAACCUGUAAAAUGACCUUUUGGUAGAUUCUUAGAUUCAAGUUGUCAUGUGUCCCCACUUCCUUUCCUGUCCUAUUGCCCUUGACUCAUGAAUCAUUACCAGUAAUAAAGAUACUACAGGUGAAAUUCUUCCUGCUGUGAGGUUUCUGAAGGGUAUAUUGAAAGUAGACCU